GUGGUUGUGGUUCAGUGGUAGAGCACUUGCUUAACAUGCGUGAGUCACUGGGUUCGAUACCCAGAACCACA
rnacentral:tRNA from 1 species